CAAGGUUUGACAUCACCCGGAAACACCCAGAGAUGGGUGCCUCUUCGGACUGGGUGACAGGUGGUGCAUGGCUGUCGUCAGCUCGUGUCGUGAGAUGUUGGGUUAAGUCCCGCAACGAGCGCAACCCUUGCUCCAUGUUGCCAGCACGCCCUUCGGGGUGGUGGGGACUCAUGGGGGACUGCCGGGGUCAACUCGGAGGAAGGUGGGGAUGACGUCAAGUCAUCAUGCCCCUUAUGUCUUGGGCUGCAAACAUGCUACAAUGGCCGGUACAGAGGGCUGCGAAACCGUGAGGUGGAGCGAAUCCCUAAAAGCCGGUCUCAGUUCGGAUUGGGGUCUGCAACUCGACCCCAUGAAGUCGGAGUCGCUAGUAAUCGCAGAUCAGCAACGCUGCGGUGAAUA
rnacentral:rRNA from 1 species